GACGAACGCUGGCGGCGUGCUUAACACAUGCAAGUCGAACGGUGAAGCGCCUUCCUUUUUGGUGGGUGUGGAUGAGUGGCGGACGGGUGAGUAACACGUGAGUAACCUGCCCCCUUCUUCUGGAUAACCGCAUGAAAGUGUGGCUAAUACGGGAUAUUCUGGGUCUGUCGCAUGAUGGGUCUGGGAAAGAGAUUGUUUCGGUGGGGGAUGGGCUCGCGGCCUAUCAGCGUGUUGGUGGGGUGAUGGUCUACCAAGGCGGGGACGGGUAGCCGGCCUGGGAGGGUGGACGGUCCCACAGGGCCUGAGGCACCGCCCGGACUCCUACGCGAGGCAGCAGUGGGGGGUAUUGAGCAGUGGGCGAUAGCCUGAUACAGCGACGCCGCGGAAGGGACGGAGGCCUUCGGGUUGUGAACCUCUUUCGGCAGUGAAGCAGGCCUGCCUCGUUUGUGGGUGGAUUGACGGUAGCUGGAUAAGAAGCGCCGGCUAACUACGUG
rnacentral:rRNA from 1 species